UAGACAUACGUGUAUAUGUCAUGAAGUUAGUAGCUCCCUAACAUUUGUAUGAGGGGAAAAUUCAAAAGUUGAGGUGCUUCAUACUGUGUUCUGUCUGAGGAGUUUUGCAUGAAGAAGUAAAGUGAGUGGAAUAGAGCCAAGGAUGACUUGCCGGCAACUGCAGCAAGGCAUAGGGUUUAACUGGUCAUAACUGGCAAGCAUCUGAGGCUCUAUUUCACCCUCUCUUCUUCUCAUGCUAAGCUAUGUAGACUGUCAUUCUACCAAAAAGAUCCCGCUAGCGAAGCUGGCAGCAAGGUAUCAAGGAAGACUCACCUUCGAAUCACUCAAUCAGGGGACAUGCAUGUUCAGACUCUCUUAAUGUUGCUAAUCAUGGAAUUAAUUGACAGCAGCAAGUCACUCUAAUCUAAGCAAUUCAAUAGAAACUUGCUAAUAAAUUUUCUUUUCCAUUCCUCCGGAACCUUUGUUUGCUUCAUUACCUCUGGAAUUUAUGAAGUACUGCAAUAAGUAUAGAUUAUAAAGGA